rnacentral:rRNA from 1 species
AGACCCGAAACCCGGUGAUCUAGCCAUGGGCAGGUUGAAGGUUGGGUAACACUAACUGGAGGACCGAACCGACUAAUGUUGAAAAAUUAGCGGAUGACCUGUGGCUGGGGGUGAAAGGCCAAUCAAACCGGGAGAUAGCUGGUUCUCCCCGAAAGCUAUUUAGGUAGCGCCUCGUGAAUUCAUCUCCGGGGGUAGAGCACUGUUUCGGCUAGGGGGCCAUCCCGGCUUACCAACCCGAUGCAAACUGCGAAUACCGGAGAAUGUUAUCACGGGAGACACACGGCGGGUGCUAACGUCCGUCGUGAAGAGGGAAACAACCCAGACCGCCAGCUAAGGUCCCAAAGUCAUGGUUAAGUGGGAAACGAUGUGGGAAGGCCCAGACAGCCAGGAUGUUGGCUUAGAAGCAGCCAUCAUUUAAAGAAAGCGUAAUAGCUCACUGGUCGAGUCGGCCUGCGCGGAAGAUGUAACGGGGCUAAACCAUGCACCGAAGCUGCGGCAGCGAACGUAUCACCCAAGACAACUUUACGGAGUUGACGAUUGACGGAGCGAAGCGACGUCAAAGCGUUCAUUAAAGUCGAGUUGGCUUAGGGAUACGUUCGUUGGGUAGGGGAGCGUUCUGUAAGCCUGUGAAGGUGUGUCGUGAGGCAUGCUGGAGGUAUCAGAAGUGCGAAUGCUGACAUAAGUAACGAUAAAGCGGGUGAAAAGCCCGCUCGCCGGAAGACCAAGGGUUCCUGUCCAACGUUAAUCGGGGCAGGGUGAGUCGACCCCUAAGGCGAGGCCGAAAGGCGUAGUCGAUGGGAAACGGGUUAAUAUUCCCGUACUUGGUGUUACUGCGAAGGGGGGACGGAGAAGGCUAUGUUGGCCGGGCGACGGUUGUCCCGGUUUAAGGGUGUAGGUGUGUGUUCCAGGUAAAUCCGGUUCACUUUAACACUGAGGCGUGACGACGAGGCACUACGGUGCUGAAGCAACAAAUGCCCUGCUUCCAGGAAAAGCCUCUAAGCAUCAGGUAACACGAAAUCGUACCCCAAACCGACACAGGUGGUCAGGUAGAGAAUACCAAGGCGCUUGAGAGAACUCGGGUGAAGGAACUAGGCAAAAUGGUGCCGUAACUUCGGGAGAAGGCACGCUGACACGUAGGUGAAGUGAUUUACUCAUGGAGCUGAAGUCAGUCGAAGAUACCAGCUGGCUGCAACUGUUUAUUAAAAACACAGCACUGUGCAAACACGAGAGUGGACGUAUACGGUGUGACGCCUGCCCGGUGCCGGAAGGUUAAUUGAUGGGGUCAGCGUAAGCGAAGCUCCUGAUCGAAGCCCCGGUAAACGGCGGCCGUAACUAUAACGGUCCUAAGGUAGCGAAAUUCCUUGUCGGGUAAGUUCCGACCUGCACGAAUGGCGUAAUGAUGGCCAGGCUGUCUCCACCCGAGACUCAGUGAAAUUGAACUCGCUGUGAAGAUGCAGUGUACCCGCGGCAAGACGGAAAGACCCCGUGAACCUUUACUAUAGCUUGACACUGAACAUUGAGCCUUGAUGUGUAGGAUAGGUGGGAGGCUUUGAAGUGUGGACGCCAGUCUGCAUGGAGCCGACCUUGAAAUACCACCCUUUAAUGUUUGAUGUUCUAACGUGGACCCGUAAUCCGGGUUGCGGACAGUGUCUGGUGGGUAGUUUGACUGGGGCGGUCUCCUCCUAAAGAGUAACGGAGGAGCACGAAGGUUGGCUAAUCCUGGUCGGACAUCAGGAGGUUAGUGCAAUGGCAUAAGCCAGCUUGACUGCGAGCGUGACGGCGCGAGCAGGUGCGAAAGCAGGUCAUAGUGAUCCGGUGGUUCUGAAUGGAAGGGCCAUCGCUCAACGGAUAAAAGGUACUCCGGGGAUAACAGGCUGAUACCGCCCAAGAGUUCAUAUCGACGGCGGUGUUUGGCACCUCGAUGUCGGCUCAUCACAUCCUGGGGCUGAAGUAGGUCCCAAGGGUAUGGCUGUUCGCCAUUUAAAGUGGUACGCGAGCUGGGUUUAGAACGUCGUGAGACAGUUCGGUCCCUAUCUGCCGUGGGCGC